AGAGUUUGAUCCUGGCUCAGAGCGAACGCUGGCGGCAGGCUUAACACAUGCAAGUCGAGCGGGCGUAGCAAUACGUCAGCGGCAGACGGGUGAGUAACGCGUGGGAACGUACCUUUUGGUUCGGAACAACCCAGGGAAACUUGGGCUAAUACCGGAUAAGCCCUUACGGGGAAAGAUUUAUCGCCGAAAGAUCGGCCCGCGUCUGAUUAGCUAGUUGGUGAGGUAACGGCCCACCAAGGCGACGAUCAGUAGCUGGUCUGAGAGGAUGAUCAGCCACAUUGGGACUGAGACACGGCCCAAACUCCUACGGGAGGCAGCAGUGGGGAAUAUUGGACAAUGGGCGCAAGCCUGAUCCAGCCAUGCCGCGUGAGUGAUGAAGGCCCUAGGGUUGUAAAGCUCUUUUGUGCGGGAAGAUAAUGACGGUACCGCAAGAAUAAGCCCCGGCUAACUUCGUGCCAGCAGCCGCGGUAAUACGAAGGGGGCUAGCGUUGCUCGGAAUCACUGGGCGUAAAGGGUGCGUAGGCGGGUUUUUAAGUCAGGGGUGAAAUCCUGGAGCUCAACUCCAGAACUGCCUUUGAUACUGAAGAUCUUGAGUUCGGGAGAGGUGAGUGGAACUGCGAGUGUAGAGGUGAAAUUCGUAGAUAUUCGCAAGAACACCAGUGGCGAAGGCGGCU
rnacentral:rRNA from 1 species